GACGAACGCUGGCGGUGUGCUUAACACAUGCAAGUGGUGCGACGAACCAGAGCUUGCUCUGGGGCAAAGCCGCGAACGGGUGAGUAACACGUGGGUAAUCUACCCCGAUGACCGGGACAACCCGAGGAAACUCGGGCUAAUACCGGAUGUGGUACGGAGACAUAAGUCUCUUUACUAAAGGUAGCUUCGGCUUCCGCAUUGGGAGGGGCCCGCGGCCCAUUAGCUAGUUGGUGGGGUCAAGGCCUACCAAGGCAACGAUGGUAGCUGGUCUGAGAGGACGAUCAGCCACACUGGGACUGAGCACGGCCCAGACUCCUAC
rnacentral:rRNA from 1 species